rnacentral:rRNA from 1 species
AGAAUCAACGCUGGCGGCGUGCCUAACACAUGCAAGUCGAACGAGAAAGUGGAGCAAUCCAUGAGUAAAGUGGCGCACGGGUGAGUAACACGUGACUAACCUACCCUCGAGUGGGGAAUAACUUCGGGAAACCGAGGCUAAUACCGCAUAAUACCUUCGGGUCAAAGGAGCAAUUCGCUUAAGGAGGGGGUCGCGGCCGAUUAGUUAGUUGGCGGGGUAAUGGCCCACCAAGACUGUGAUCGGUAU